UUCUCUAAUCUUUCACAGCAUUUCUGACUUUCCCUGACUUGCUGCAGCCGUGUGUUCCCUGGUUCGUGCCAGACUCCUGUACACCCCAAGACCAAGCCUCUUUAACUUGGUGGACACCAAAGGAGAAAGGAAAGCAUUCAAGCUGCUGGUGGAAAUAAGACGAACUGACUGUUGGGAAAAAUAACCCAUAUCUUUCUGAGAUGGAAGGCUUUGGAUGUAGAGUCCUCUGUGAAUUGAAUGAAGAGGCAUCCUGGAGUGAGAAUCUGCAAUGGACUGAUAACUGGCUACAGCUCGGCUACACCAGAUGCAAAACAGGAUUUGUUUUUGAGUGCGAUGGGUGUGGCUUGUCUUUUCCAUGUGAUUAGAUUAGGGGAUUUGCAGGUGGGUCCGACUACUGGGUUCUUCUGUUUUUGAGCCAGAUGUGCUCACAAACACAAGUGGUGCACAUUAACUGUGUGCGUAUUUGCAUGAAUAAGUUUCUCCAUCAUUAAAAGCCAAGGACGGGAAUACUGAAAACACCGUUCUUUCUUCAUUUCAGAAAUAUGAUGAGGUGACAUGGGUACUUAUCUCUCACAGUGUAACUUUUAGAAGAACUGGAUAUUUUCACAGCCACUCUGACUCUGUGGCUUGUCACCAGCCCCUGUUGUUUACAGUCUUAUCUGUGCAUGAAGUUUGAUCCCUUUGAAAAUGAUUGAAAAACAAAAGCGCAUUCAAAAUCUCUGUGUCCGAUGAGAAAAUAUGUUCAGUUUAAGUAAAAUUGAAGCACGUGUCUGCACAUCGUCUUUCACUAAAGGAAACAAUCCUGAAAUGCAGUGGAAACUUUGUUAACUUUCCAUCACUGGGGCAAAAUCCCUUUCGGGAAAGAAUUUGUGAUGGUUUGGAUGUGCUUGGCCCAGAGAGUAGC
rnacentral:sRNA from 1 species